AUGCCGGCGCCACCGGAUCCGAAGGACGGGAGCGGGUCGUUCUCUUCGCCCGGCGGCGGCGCCUCUCUCCAGGCAGCCUGUGGCGUAAAUAGGCAGGAACCCGCCGUUCGCCCGCAGCCUGCGCCCCGCGCCCGGGCCGGGAGAGGCGCCUCCCGCCGCGGCCGAAGGAAACUUGAUGGGGCGCCGGGGGCGGUCCCCGGGGCUCGCCCACCCUCGGGGCUCGGGGAAGGGUCGCGGGCAUCGGGUGCCAGCGGCCGGGGGCCGGGCGGGCGGGCUCCGAUCGGGGCUGCGCGCGGGGCCUGGCCGGCGCGCCCGGCUUCCUGGGGGCUGGGCCGCUGCCGCCACCGCCCGGGAGGGACGCUGCGUCCUCCUUCCCGCCGGCCAGUGUCUGGCCUGGCCCUGGGGCUUUGUCGCUGCACUUGUCCCCGCGCGGGGCUGGAGGUGGUGGGGCUCGGGCGGCGAGUCCCGGGAGGGGUCAGCGGUCCGGGCCGCGGCCUAGCGCCGGGCGCCUCCGGGUCCCCGCGGGCGCCCCCCGGGCCGGCCUCGCGCGCUCGGCCUGACCCGCCUCGGCUACGGAGCGGGCAAGGUGGGGGCGGGGAGCCUCUGGGGACCGAGCGGCGCCCCGCUGGCAGGCCCGGGGCUGGGGGUGCCGGCGUCCCCUGGGGGUUCCGGGGCGCGGGCGGCGGCGGGGUGGGGACGCGAGUGCCCGCCCCGCGCCCUCCGACCCCGCUCGGGGCGCAGAGUGGCAUUCGCCAGCCGGCCGAACGUGGUUGGUGCAAAGCCGUGGCCGCCACUUCCUUUCCGCCUCGCGGGCCGGGCUCGCCCACCAAGCGAUGCCCGCCGCGGCCCAUCGUGGCGCCCGGCCGCUCGCUGUGCCAGGGAGCCGGCUCUGAGAGGGCUCGGGCAGUCUUUUGCAAGUUGGAAGGGUUUCAGGACGCAGCUCACCUCCCCCCACUUCCCCCCCAGGACGCACCGGCAUCUCAGUUUGGGCCCCAGGUGUGGCUGCGUGGGGCUGCGCCCUCACCCCCUUACCCCUUUAGAGGGGAAGAAGCGGAAAGGAGGCAGGCAGCCUGA
rnacentral:lncRNA from 1 species